rnacentral:lncRNA from 1 species
AUGGUGAAGACAAGCAAAUUUUCCAUUGCUGUAUACUAUGGAAAGUAUGAAGAUGCAUGGAUUUCUGCCCUUCAUCCAGGGGUGUCUACUUCUGAGAAUGCACAACCACACUAUGGUGCGUCUGUCAGCCCUUUGUCUUUGUUUCUGGGUUCUCAUGAAUUUUCAGCCAUGAGUCCAUCUGGGAAUAAUUCCACUAUGAGAAGAAGGCUUCCAUUCUAUCAAGAAAAAAGGCUGCAUGGAUGGAAAUCACGGAAAGCUACAGAAGGUGACCUGAGGCAAAGAGAACCCUUUGCCAUAGCCAGUCUUCCAGUUGAGGACAGCUAUAUCAUUGUUUUCCAUAUUUCCAGCAACCUUUGGCAUUUGUCACUGUCAAAACUUAAAUACAGUGGGAUAUUUGGAAAUUUGGGAAAGGAAUGUAUAACUGACUGAACAGUUGGACGUGAAAAGAAGUGGUUCUUCAGUUUUAGAAAGAUAAAUAAAUUAAUUGACUACAUGUUUAGAAGGAAGACU